GACGAACGCUGGCGGCGUGCUUAACACAUGCAAGUCGAACGGAAAGGCCCUGCUUUUGUGGGGUGCUCGAGUGGCGAACGGGUGAGUAACACGUGAGUAACCUGCCCUUGACUUUGGGAUAACUUCAGGAAACUGGGGCUAAUACCGGAUAGGAGCUCCUGCUGCAUGGUGGGGGUUGGAAAGUUUCGGCGGUUGGGGAUGGACUCGCGGCUUAUCAGCUUGUUGGUGGGGUAGUGGCUUACCAAGGCUUUGACGGGUAGCCGGCCUGAGAGGGUGACCGGCCACAUUGGGACUGAGAUACGGCCCAGACUCCUACGGGAGGCAGCAGUGGGGAAUAUUGCACAAUGGGCGGAAGCCUGAUGCAGCAACGCCGCGUGCGGGAUGACGGCCUUCGGGUUGUAAACCGCUUUCGCCUGCGACGAAGCGUGAGUGACGGUAAUGGGUAAAGAAACACCGGCUAACUACGU
rnacentral:rRNA from 1 species